rnacentral:rRNA from 1 species
UACGUAGGGUGCGAGCGUUAAUCGGAAUUACUGGGCGUAAAGCGUGCGCAGGCGGUUUUUUAAGCCCGAUGUGAAAUCCCCGGGCUUAACCUGGGAAUGGCAUUUGGGACUGCAAGGCUCGAGUGCGGCAGAGGAGACUGGAAUUCCUGGUGUAGCAGUGAAAUGCGUAGAUAUCAGGAGGAAUACCGAUGGCGAAGGCAGGUCUCUGGGCUGACACUGACGCUCAUGCACGAAAGCGUGGGGAGCAAACAGG